rnacentral:misc_RNA from 1 species
ACCCGGCGUGCGCUUCCCGGGCAGGAGGGCGACAAGAGGAAUCUCGCCCCGCUGGCCAUCGCCAACCCCGCCUGCACGCCCCGUGUGGGCCCCCGCUCGCCUUUCUCCUCCUCCGCUAUCUACACUACAGUACUACACUACCUUCUCAACAGCUGCUGAGGUCCCGGCUCUGCUAUAUAUACGGAGUGCUGCUUUAAGUUCUACACCUGCUACUUGAGCAAACAACGGCAUAGCUCGUCCUCGCCGUUGCCAACUUGGGAGAAUCCUGAUCGUGACUGACUGCAAGAUGAAGCUGCUCGUCGGAGGCCAGAGGAGGCAGAGGGGAUUCGGCAAGGCCCUCAAGGAGCAGAGGGCCAGGCUCUACAUCAUCCAGCGCUGCGUCGUCAUGCUCCUGCGAUGGCACGACUGAUCCAAUCCACAUACUGCCAUGGGGGAGCUUCGUCCGAGAUACAAACCAGUGGAUUCACAGGGCGAGCUCCAUCGUCCUUGCCUGGUGCUUGCUUCAUCGGGCGCCGGAGUUUUGAGAGGUGUCGCGCUGCUGCCACAAUGGUUGCCGCUUGCCGGCUGCUGUACAUAGAGAUAGAGGGCCAUGGCCAAUAUAGUGUAGUACAAAUAGAGGUAGGUGUUCGUCAGUGUCUACUGUGUCAUUGUGUAUGGAAUGCCAAAUCAGUGAACAAGACAGUUGUUGGGGUCUUUCUCUUUCGAAUGUCCUCAAAAAUACGGCUAACCAUUUGCUUUCAGCAUAUUACUAAAUAUUACAGGAGCUUCGUCA